rnacentral:rRNA from 2 species
GAACGAUGAACCUCCUUCGGGAGGGGAUUAGUGGCGAACGGGUGAGUAACACGUGGGCAAUCUGCCCUGCACUCUGGGACAAGCCCUGGAAACGGGGUCUAAUACCGGAUACGACUCGGGAGGGCAUCCUUCCGGGUGGAAAGCUCCGGCGGUGCAGGAUGAGCCCGCGGCCUAUCAGCUUGUUGGUGGGGUGAUGGCCUACCAAGGCGACGACGGGUAGCCGGCCUGAGAGGGCGACCGGCCACACUGGGACUGAGACACGGCCCAGACUCCUACGGGAGGCAGCAGUGGGGAAUAUUGCACAAUGGGCGAAAGCCUGAUGCAGCGACGCCGCGUGAGGGAUGACGGCCUUCGGGUUGUAAACCUCUUUCAGCAGGGAAGAAGCGCAAGUGACGGUACCUGCAGAAGAAGCGCCGGCUAACUACGUGCCAGCAGCCGCGGUAAUACGUAGGGCGCAAGCGUUGUCCGGAAUUAUUGGGCGUAAAGAGCUCGUAGGCGGCUUGUCGCGUCGGAUGUGAAAGCUCGGGGCUUAACCCCGGGUCUGCAUUCAUACGGGCAGGCUAGAGUGUGGUAGGGGAGAUCG